rnacentral:rRNA from 1 species
GAUGAACGCUGGCGGCGUGCUUAAUACAUGCAAGUCGAACGAGGGACUUCUGUCUUCGGAUGGAGGUUUCCUAGUGGCGAACGGGUGAGUAACGCGUUGGUGACCUGCCCCGAAGUGGGGGAUAACAGUUCGAAAGGACUGCUAAUACCUCAUGUGAUCAGCUGGAUUAGAUGCCUACUGAUUAAAGGCGAAAGCCGCUUUGGGAGGGGCCUGCGUCCCAUGAGCUAGUUGGUAGGGUAAUGGCCUACCAAGGCGAUGACGGGUAGGGGACCUGAGAGGGUGGCCCCCCACACUGGCACUGAAACACGGGCCAGACCCCUACGGGUGGAAGCAGUAGGGAAUAUUGGACAAUGGGCGAAAGCCUGAUCCAGCAACGCCGCGUGCGCGAUGACGGCCUUCGGGUUGUAAAGCGCUUUUAGAGGAGAUGAGAAAGGACAGUAUCCUCAGAAUAAGCCUCGGCGAACUACGUGCCAGCCGCCGCCGUAACAC